rnacentral:pre_miRNA from 1 species
AGUACAAUUUUUGGGUCAAAUGGUAACCGUUUCACCUUUUGAGGAACUAACACACUGCUUUCCAAGGUGGCUGCACCAUUUUACAUUCCCACCAGCAGU